rnacentral:tRNA from 1 species
GGACCUGUAGUUCAGGGGAUUAAAGCAUGUGGCUACGAACCAUGGUAUCGGGGGUUCAAAUCCCUCUUAGCCCA